GAGUUUGAUCGUGGCUCAGGACGAACGCUGGCGGCGUGCUUAACACAUGCAAGUCACGGGGGCCCGCAAGGGCAACCGGCGAACGGGUGCGUAACACGUGAGCAAUCUGCCGAUUUCAGGGGGAUAGCCGGCCCAACGGCCGGGUAAUACCGCAUACGCUCAUCUGGGGGAGUCCCUGGGUGAGGAAACCUCCGGGGGAGAUCGAGGAGCUCGCGGCCUAUCAGCUAGUUGGCGGGGUAAUGGCCCACCAAGGCUCUGACGGGUAGCUGGUCUGAGAGGAUGGCCAGCCACAUUGGGACUGAGAGACGGCCCAGACUCCUACGGGAGGCAGCAGUGGGGAAUCUUGCGCAAUGGCCGAAAGGCUGACGCAGCGACGCCGCGUGUGGGAGGAAGCCCUUCGGGUGUAAACCACUGUUGCCGGACGAAUGACCUUUCGAGGGAGGUGACGGUACCGGGUGAGGAAGCACCGGCUAACUCCGUGCCAGCCGCCGCCGUAAC
rnacentral:rRNA from 1 species